rnacentral:ncRNA from 1 species
GCAUCGGUUGCGCGGGAAGCCGCGCAUCAAAAGGGAAUCGGGUGCAAAUCCCGAGCAGUCCUGCUGCCGUGUGGAACGAGGACGCUUCCGUGCGCCGCUAAUGCGGCGCGGCCACUGGGGGAAACCCUGGGAAGGUGGAAGUACAGUCUGUUGACGUCCGAGCCGGAAGACCUGCCGAUGC